rnacentral:lncRNA from 1 species
CAGUCCAGUUGAUGCACGACACAUGGCAUCUUAUGUCUUUUUUAAUGAUAAAUCAAUAGUUUGCUACAUUUUUUUUUAUUGCUUCUUAGGCUGGCACAAUUUUUUUUUAUUGAUUCCUGAAUGAGCUGGGUUUUGGGUUCAGCCACAAAGAAUUGUGUGGGCCAUUUGAUGGAGGAUAUGUGGAAACAUAGAUGUGCGACAUUUGUCGCACCGGAAGAGCACCGGCUUCUCGUUUAACG